UACGAAGGGGGCUAGCGUUAUUCGGAUUUACUGGGCUUAAAGGGUGCGUAGGCGGUGCGGUCAGUCGGGUGUGAAAUCCCUCGGCUCAACCGAGGAACUGCGCCCGAUACUGCCGUACUUGAGGGAGACAGAGGUAAGCGGAACUGAUGGUGGAGCGGUGAAAUGCGUUGAUAUCAUCAGGAACACCGGUGGCGAAAGCGGCUUACUGGGUCUCAUCUGACGCUGAGGCACGAAAGCUAGGGUAGCGAACGGG
rnacentral:rRNA from 1 species